GAUGAACGCUGGCGGUGUGCCUAAUACAUGCAAGUCGAACGGCCAGACGAGGAGAUCUUUCUCUUGCCGUUAGCGGGGGACGGACGGGUAAGAAGUGGAUCAGCAUCUUCUAUGUCUUGGGUAAUUACGGGAAACCGGUGACGCUAAUGGCGAAUACAUUCUACGGGUUAGAUCAGUAGAGCUUGGGGGCUUUCGCGUUUCAUUUAGAUGAUUUCGGAUUAGCUAGUUGGGUUGGUAAGGGCCCACCAAGGCAACGAUGCGUAGCCGGUCUGAGAGGAUGAUCAGCCACACUGGAACUGAGACACGGUCCAGACUCCUACGGGAGGCAGCAGUGGGGAAUCUUCCACAAUGGGCGAAAGCCUGACGCAGCAAUGCCGCGUGAGUGAUGAAGGUCUUCGGAUCGUAAAGCUCUGUUGUUGGGAAAGAAAAGCAGUAGGAUAAUCUAUCGAUGUUCUGACGGUACCUAAAGAAUAAGCAACGGCUAACUUCGUG
rnacentral:rRNA from 1 species